UCCUUUUUGAAUUUUCGAUUAUACAAAUUUUAUUCGUUUUGAUGAAGUUUGAUUAUUUUAGGGAAUUGGGGUUUGUCUGGUUUACUGAAAUUAGUGUUUAUGUUGUGAAAAAUUUAUGUUUUUUGGAAUUUUGACUUGUUCUUCGCAAUUGAGGUACUGGGUGUGUUUUGUUUCAGUGUUAAAGGGUAUUUUUUAGCUGAAUUUUGUUGGCGGGCUUUGUUUUCCAACAGCUGAGUAACUUUUACUUCUGACUUUUGAUAGUGGAUUUUGUUUUCGGAGAGUUGAUUAAUUUUUACUACUGAAUUUUCGAUGAAAUUCCUAUCCCAUAUAAAACGUAUUUUUUAUGUAAGUAAUGAUAAGUGUGAGAUGGGUUCCGUAUCGAUAUCAAAAAUUUCCUUUUCUUGGAUGAAAUUUUGUAUAAGAUGGCUGUGGUUUGAAUAAGAGGAGUGGACAUUAAUCUUCUCCCAUCUUUUAAUUUUGAGUUUGAAGUUUAACAAUUAGUUCGAACCUGUCCAGCUCUGUGACAGUCUAUUAAAUCCACUUUUUGUUUUCCUUGCUAUAGUUUGUCACUGCUGUCCUUUGUUUUACAAUACUUGGUUUAUGUUUUGGUCGAGCUUAUCAUGAAUUGGUUCAAUUGCUAAACAUUGGUUAGUUUAUCUCAUGUCUUAGCAGCAGUUUUAAUUCGAAUAUGUCAUCAGCCACCUACUAGACUUUCUUUAUCCUUUUGGUGGCUUUACUUACAGAAAAAUGAGAGCAGUCAGUUGGUUUGAAUUUGAACGAAGUCUCACCUUAACUUCGUGUUAUAAAUAUUUUCAAGUUUAGUUCUCAUUAUCUUUGUUAUUGUUAUUCUGUUUGAUGGCUCUUUGUGAGAGUGCUAAUACCUAUAUCUGCUUGGCACCGCGACUUGUAGGCGGGUUCAUGAUAUUUUGUUCAUCGCAUUCGUGAUGUGGUUGUCACUAACGCGAUGGGUCAGUCAGAGUCAGCCUCGCAAUUACAGAUGACUGAAUCAAUCUGGACAAAUUUUUCGACAAUGGCUCUGUUGUUCAGGAAACUUUUCUUGUUAAUAUGAAAGUUUUGGUGUGGUACCUCUUUAUUUGUUCCGUUGUGCAGUGUUUCACUUAUGAGGUUCAGGUGCUCAGUUCUAGGUUCGACAGUAAUUCUUCGGGUACGCUGUUCUACUUCCUCUGUUGUGGUGAGUCGUCAUGUUCCGAGGACGUGAUGUCUAAUGUUGGUUUCACGAAAUUGUUUACAUUUGAUAACUGAGUAUGAGUCAGUUGGGGCAUGUCUCAAUGGCUCGCUGGUUUUAUUGAUUUUCUUAGAGGCUUAUCAGACUAGUAUAGUUAUUGGGAGUUGACUAAUAAUUCGUAUUUUGUUAUCUUUCUGAAAUUCUUCUAUUCUUGAA